UGUCUUCCCCUCCUGCCUACUCACAGUGAAACUUACCUGAAGCACAUGACACAGCCCCCAGCUAUCUGAAGAGAGCUAUCACCCUCUCUCCCCUGGGUUUAGAAAGACAUUGCAUAGGCUUCUCAAUGGGAAAUGUAUUGCAAGCAGGUUAGCAAAUCUUUCUUGUAGAUAACAGGAAUCAGAAACAGAUCAUACCCUAUCUUGUUACCAAAGAAAAAGGUGGUCGCUGGGGUAAAGGACAGUGUAGAGGAAGGGGAUGACACAACACAGUAUGGUUGGUAAGGCACACAUACCUCAGUGUUCUUCACAGAAACCAUUAAUAAUGGCAGAAGCACAGUCUGAGACCAACCGCGUUUUCUAUUUUACAAAGGCAGCAUCAAGGAGCUUGGAGGCGAGUGUACCUACUACUGAUGCUUUGCUACAUGGUCAUGCUGUCAGACUGCCUUCUAAGUAUUUAUGUUCAUGGCUACAGAUUAGGGCUGCCCUCAACCUUAAUCAGAGGACCUUCUAUGGACAAUGGGCAGCAGCCCACGCAAAGACUCCUAACUACUCAGUGUUGAAAAUGAGCAGCAGUUGGGUGUUCAGCCCUAGAUGGGCUAUUUAUGCUAUUACCAUCCAGACUCCUGAGCUAUGGUGAAGAGAAGGCAGAAAGGACUGAAGAGCCAGAGGAUGGGGAAAACGCUGUGAGAGGCUGUCUUCAGGACACAACAUGGCUGUAGCACACAGAAGUUGUGACUGCCGGCACAAAAUCUAGCCACGUGACAUUCCAUCACAGAUUGAGGGCUCAUGAGGCUCCCUCCACCCCUAAGUGAGGAGCCAUUGGCAGUCGCCGGCUUCUAGGGAAAGGGGGAAUCAUUUUUCUUCCUUCUGGAGUGUGUCCCCUUGGCAGGCCACCCAUGCUCUGGUAGACAGCCCCAUACUGAUUUGCAUGCAGGCAUCCUUUACUGGACUCAAUUGAUUAUGUAAAAUUUUUAAAGAGAAAAGGAAAGAGAAGACAUGAAGGUACAAGACUGUUAGAUGUACGGGAGGUUAUCUGAGGAUAGAGGAGGGAGGAUUUGGGUCAGUUAUCAAGAUACAUUGUAUCCGUGAAUGAAAUUGUCAAUAAAUAAGUAAGAAUAAUCAAGAAGAAGCAGUGGCUGAGGCAGCAGCAGCACAGAGGUGAAGUUGCAAAAGGAUCCCGGCUACUAAGUGUCAGGGCCUCAAUUAGAGAAGCCUUUGAACUUCAACCCCAUCCUCUCUGCAUCGCACUGCUCCAAAAGGACAGCGACCUCCCUGUGGUUUUAGAACACUACCAUAAAUAUAGCACCAGCUAGCACCUCACUUGCAUUAGCCCUGAUUUACAGAGGCUAACCCUGCAGGGCUGAGAGGCAAAGGAACGUGUUCCGGUUCCCUAGAAAAAUGCCUUGUUCUUGGAACUCAAAGCUCACUUAAGAUUACUUUGUUGACAACCAACUACUGAAAAGAGCCAGGGAGUAUCUUAGUCUCAAAAUAGAUUCCCUGACUAAGUAAAGGGAGCGGCCUCUGACUGCUGUUCAGCUCUGAACUCUUUUUGACAAGGGGCAUCCCUGCCAUCCAGGUUAUCCCAACUACAAAAGAGCACCAAGUAAAGUUUGCCCCUCAGUUAACCAGGAUGCCCUGAGGCUCAAAUGUGAAAAAGCAACUUUGGGGCAGAGGCUGGCUCCCACAAUAAGCAACUGUCUCUUCCUUCUCUCAUUUCUCCAUCUCCCAAACCUAUUCUACAGCCCAGGACCCAGAGCAUGCAAACAGGGUGAGGAAGAUCUCAUCCCUGCAAGGGAGGAGAAAGUAAAACAAUUACAACACCAACAUUUCUAUUUCAAAACAAAAAAAGCCAAAAAAAAAAAAAACAUUAAGUUAUUAGCAUAAGUCCUAGGCGCCAUACAAAGGGCUCUCCUGCAGCUCACUUGCUUUUAGCUUGCAUACCUACUCAUUUUACAGAUAACAAAACUUAAGCUUGGAGUUUAAAGGGUAACCAGUAAGCAGUAGGGCCAGGGCAAAGCCCCAGUGCUAAUGCAGACUAAUACUUCCCUACUGUAAGGAGCUCAUUAAUCACCUGGGAAGACUCGGUGAGACCUUCACCAGGUCUAGUCUGAGAUCUGAGCUGAUGCGCGCUUCUAGGCUAGCUAGGAGGCAGACUCCACUGUGAGUUUCCAGGGCUGCACUGUUAUAUCCCAUUAAGUGGCAGCCUGUAUCACCGGGUGGGUUCCUAAAGUUUCACACUCGCCCUGCUCCAUAGAAUGUGCUCAGUAACUUACUAAAUGAAUCUAUACCUCCAAAAAUUGAUGCUUCAGCACUUCCCUAUAUCAAUCCCAUUAUGUCAUUCAACCUUCAUAACAGACCUAUAAGGAAGGAAGAUUCUCCCUUGACCGACAAGGAAAUAGGCUCAAAAGAGUAAGUGACCUAAGCUUUUCAGCUUUUGUGCGGCAGACGACCACAGCUGUCUCCGGGGGUACAAGACAAAAUAAUUACAGACCACUGAAUGGGAAGAGGGGUGCCAUCUCAGCACCUAACAGGCUCACCGCUCCGGAAGUCACCCGGAACUCUCAACUACUCCGGGGAUGGAGUAGCCCUGCCCGGUGCUCCGGGAGGGAAAUAGAAAGGAGAGGAGGCCGGUUUGGGGCACAGUGCCAGGCGGCAGAAGACAGCUGGUGAGCCCGGGGCCCGCCUGAUCCCCCAAGCGCCGCGGACUCACGGCCUUCAGCUGCUCCAGCCGGUCCUUCAUCCUGGCCCAGGUGAGGGCGGCGGGCGCCUUGUCUCAGGUGAGCGCGUCCCAAGUGAGCGGCCUGGAGCGGCGGCGGCUGCCGGCCGGGGCGAGAGAGCUGCUAGAGCGGGCGGAGGCGGGCGGCGGCCGCUCUCGAGGAGGAGCGUCCGAGGCCACCGAGGUCCGCCGCGCCGCCCCCUCCGGCCCCCGCCGGCGCCGCGCUCCAAAUCCGGCUACGAGACCGCGCCGGCUCAGGGCUCGCCCGCCCCUGGGCCCGCCCCAUACCUGGGCCGCUCCCCGAGCUCCUGCUUAAAGGGCCAGCGCGCUCCAGCGCCGGAAGCAUUCCGGGCACACCUUCCCAUGCCCCUCGAAAGGCAGAAACAAAAAAAAAAAAAAAAAAAGGCGGGGGUGGUCUGUCUGGCUUCGAUUCCGUAUUUUCCGCACUGUUCUUAUUGUUCGGCCCUCUGCGGACUCCUCAGGUUGAAGACAAGCUGGUUCCUGCUCCCUUUGAUGAGGGAAAACGUUCCGAUGAUGCUCAAGAGAUAUUCCGCCUUAAAGAAGGGACCUGUUGGGUAUAAAAUCUGUGCGGUUCGGGCUCAGAGACUUGUUCCCGUAGGGCGUAACUGCAGAUGAGAUGCCCUGGAUCGGGCUGCGGCGAGGAAUUUGGGGAUUAUGAUGCUAGUGGUUGUGGGGCCUCUCGAAGUCGUGUAGGCGGUCCAGUCACCUUUUACUAACAAUUUGAAUAACUUGAGGGAAUCUAGGAGAGUCCGUUUCCAUAGCUAUAUAAAUCAGAGGCUGCUUAGCAAUUUUCUGCUUAGCCUGUACGAGAAAAGAAGCAACUGACUUUUAACUACCGGGCAGAGUUGUAGGAUAAAGACGUUUGUUUGAUUUGGAAAACUUAAGCCCACCUCUCUCCUCCUUGCUGUCAAGAGCCCUGGGAUUUGAAGAAUUUUUAGAAAAGUGUGGUUCUUCUCACUGCCCUUCCUCUUCAACGGUGCCCCUAUUCCCUUCCCCUCCGUAUUUGAUUUGGGGAUAACAAAUGGCGUAUCGACCAGAGUAGUGGUCAACAAUUGGCGCUAGUGAAGACUUGGUCUCAAGUUCGAGAAGUAUCCUCGACUUUGUGUUCAAUCUUAAAGGCCAUAGAUACUUUCUAAUUAUAACCGGACUUUACCCUCUGCGAUGUGCACGCUCCUACUGACUUCCUCCGCUGCCAUAAAGGUAGUCAAGUAAGGCAGGGCUUGAGCUGUUAGAGCCAACUAUGCGGUAAUCAACUCUAAUCCUCUAUCUGACCUCCGGCUCCUGUCCUGACGCUGGCCCAGCGAGGACUGCGAAAGUUUCCACGCCCCCUGGUGGUCGUAACCCUACAGCUAGGGCUUGAACACCCCCACCCCAGCCCAGCAAACACUUGGAAAACCUUCCGCCACCGAGCUCAUUCUCUAGCAUCAGCCCUUAGGUUUUCUCCUUUCAGACAGAAUCUCCCUGAAUUGCCCAGGCAAGCUUUGAACUUGCCAUUCUCCUGUUUCAACCUCUCCAGUAAGAGGGGUUACAGUGAAAAACUCUCGAAGUGUGGACGUCUGAAAUCUGGACAGAAGUGAGGAAGGAGGAUGGAUUCAUUUUGAAGCAAGAACAAAGGAUUCCAGUUAAGACGCGAUUGAUUUUAGGCUGCAAAAAACGGCCCUGCAGUAAAGAACACUGACUGGAGGACCUGGGUUCAAUUCCCAGCAUCCACAUGGUGACACACAGUUCCAGGGGAUGCAACGCCCUCUUCUGGGCUCUGCAGAGGUUACACACAUGUGGUAUACAGACAUAAUGCAGGCAAAAACAUUCAUACAAGUAAAAAAAAAAUUUUUUUAAGUCCCAGCAAAUUAUUUUAAAGGAUAUAAUUGAUUUCAACAGGGAAAAAAUUGUGACUCUCAUGCAAAUAUAAAAUGAAUAUAUUUUAAUGUUUUAGCUUAUUAGUGAAGCAACCAGUAAGAGGUUAAACUCAUUCAGAUCCACAGACAAACAGCAGGAAGGCUGGCAUGAAUAGGUUACUUGAUGCAAAACUAGCUCUGGGGAUGGGAGAAGAAACCGUGCUUCUCCUGUACACUAAGUCCUUAUAAUCUCCAUGAAUAGAAGCACUCUGCUUACUACCGAUAUCUAAUUUACAUAGCUGGACAAUAGCUGUGAUACAAUGAAAGUCACAGACUAUUAUAGAAUCAGAAAGGUGCAUUAGAUAAGGCCACCAUAGGAUACAUAGCAUGGAACAGCUUUUUGUUAGUGGUCACUGGUCAUUUUAAUUUGCUCAGUUUUUCUGUAUACUCCCAAGGUAGUACCUUCCAUGACUGAAUGGUACCAGCUCUGUUAAAAAGUUAUUAUACAGAACAAGUUUUCUUCCCUAUUACUUCUUGCCUUAAUCCAGACACUUAAAAAAAAAAAAAAAAA